AACGAACGCUGGCGGCAGGCUUAACACAUGCAAGUCGAGCGCCCCGCAAGGGGAGCGGCCGACGGGUGAGUAACGCGUGGGAACGUACCUUUUGGUUCGGAACAACUCCGGGAAACUGGAGCUAAUACCGGAUAAGCCCUAACGGGGAAAGAUUUAUCGCCGAAAGAUCGGCCCGCGUCUGAUUAGCUAGUUGGUGAGGUAACGGCUCACCAAGGCGACGAUCAGUAGCUGGUCUGAGAGGAUGAUCAGCCACACUGGGACUGAGACACGGCCCAGACUCCUACGGGAGGCAGCAGUGGGGAAUAUUGGACAAUGGGCGCAAGCCUGAUCCAGCCAUGCCGCGUGAGUGAUGAAGGCCUUAGGGUUGUAAAGCUCUUUUGUCCGGGAAGAUAAUGACUGUACCGAAAGAAUAAGCCCCGGCUAACUUCGUG
rnacentral:rRNA from 1 species